UACGGGGGGGGCAAGCGUUGUUCGGAAUUACUGGGCGUAAAGGGUUCGUAGGUGGCUCGCUAAGUCAGACGUGAAAUCCCUCAGCUUAACUGGGGAACUGCGUCUGAGACUGGCAAGCUCGAGUGCAGGAGAGGAACGCGGAAUUCCAGGUGUAGCGGUGAAAUGCGUAGAUAUCCGGAGGAACACCAGUGGCGAAGGCGACUUUCUGGCCUGUUCUUGACGCUGAGGCGUGAAAGCUAGGGGAGCAAACGGG
rnacentral:rRNA from 1 species